rnacentral:rRNA from 1 species
UACGUAGGGUGCAAGCGUUGUCCGGAAUUAUUGGGCGUAAAGAGCUCGUAGGCGGUUCGUCGCGUCGGCUGUGAAAUCCCGGAGCUCAACUCCGGGUCUGCAGUCGAUACGGGCGGACUCGAGUUCGGCAGGGGAGACUGGAAUUCCUGGUGUAGCGGUGAAAUGCGCAGAUAUCAGGAGGAACACCGGUGGCGAAGGCGGGUCUCUGGGCCGAUACUGACGCUGAGGCACGAAAGCGUGGGGAGCGAACAGG